GACGAACGCUGGCGGCGUGCUUAACACAUGCAAGUCGAACGGAAAGGCCCUGCUUUUGUGGGGUGCUCGAGUGGCGAACGGGUGAGUAACACGUGAGUAACCUGCCCUUGACUUUGGGAUAACUUCAGGAAACUGGGGCUAAUACCGGAUAGGAGCUCCUGCUGCAUGGUGGGGGUUGGAAAGUUUCGGCGGUUGGGGAUGGACUCGCAGCUUAUCGGCUUGUUUGUGGGGUAGUGGCUUACCAAGGCUUUGACGGGUAGCCGGCCUGAGAGGGUGACCGGCCACAUGGGGACUGAGAGACGGCGCAGACUCCUACGGGAGGCAGCAGUGGAGAAUAUGGCACAAUGGGCGGAAGCCUGAUGCAGCGGCGCCGCGUGCGGAAUGACGGCCUUCGGGGUGUAAACCGCUUUCGCCUGUGACGAAGCGUGAGUGACGGUAAUGAGUAAAGAAGCACCGGCUAACUACGUG
rnacentral:rRNA from 1 species